UUGGGAGCUCUCCCAUAUGGUCGACCUGCAGGCGGCCGCGAAUUCACUAGUGAUUAGAGUUUGAUCAUGGCUCAGGACGAACGCUGGCGGCGGUGCUUAACACAUGCAAGUCGAACGAGACCCUCGCUUCGGUGGGGUGUUCUAGUGGCGAACGGGUGAGUAACACGUGGGCAACCUGCCCCCGGCUCUGGGAUAACUCCAAGAAAUUGGGGCUAAUACCGGAUAUGACCGCUGACCGCAUGGUCUGGUGGUGGAAAGAUUUAUCGGCUGGGGAUGGGCCCGCGGCCUAUCAGCUUGUUGGUGGGGUAGUGGCCUACCAAGGCGACGACGGGUAGCCGGCCUGAGAGGGUGACCGGCCACACUGGGACUGAGACACGGCCCAGACUCCUACGGGAGGCAGCAGUGGGGAAUAUUGCGCAAUGGGCUAACGCCUGACGCAGCAACGCCGCGUGGAGGAUGAAGGUCCUUGGAUUGUAAACUCCUGUCAGCAGGGAAAAAGCGAAUCGGCCUAAUACGCCGGUGAGUUGA
rnacentral:rRNA from 1 species